rnacentral:lncRNA from 1 species
GCCGGCGUCGGGUGGACGAAGGCGGGCGUCCGCGCGCGGAAGAGAGAGAGAGAGGGGAAACCGGGCCGCGCUGUCUGUCUGGGCCGAAAGGGAGGCGGGUCAGCCCAGCAGCGCCUGCCGCCUUUUAUUUUCUUUUUUUUUUGAAAUUAUUUUCCCAAAAGCUUAAAUGAGACUUUUGAAGCUUUUACAAAUCAUUUUAGGGGUUGGAGU